AUGGUGCCCUAGUGACUACAA
rnacentral:miRNA from 1 species